UUCGUAAAGUCGUGAUACGCAAGCAGUUAGUGACUACUGCUUGAUGUAGUAAAUUGUUAUUUCGAAGGUAUCUGAACAGUUGUAAGUUUGAACCCGCUUGUGCAUUUACAGAUAGUUGGUUCACGCUGAAGAGUGUGUUUAUAGGCAAAGUAUUACUCAUUUAUAAAAUCCUUCUAUAAAAGUUCUCAAAAUUAUAACGGAAUUUGAGUGAAGAGAAAAU
rnacentral:lncRNA from 1 species